CGUUUGCGAGUACAUGCGGUGUACAAAAUUUACACCUUCUAAACGAUGCUCAAAGUAAGUAGCAUGUGUAUACAUUAAAUUCAUAUCUUAUUUAUUUGUUGAAACAAGAUAAAUCUUAUGUAUAUUAAUAUCUUUUCCUUUAAUUAAUGCAAAUGGAAGGAGUGGGAAUGGAAAGAACAAGUGUUGGACCACACAAUACUCGUCGCAAUCUAGGAGACGAUCGCAGAUUUCAUCAACGAUCAUGUCAUCCUGGAAGACGCCGAGUUCCACUACACCCCU
rnacentral:lncRNA from 1 species